rnacentral:rRNA from 1 species
AUGGAUGACCAUGACAAUACUAGCUUCCCACUCUCCGAUUUCGGUCUUGGGGAUAUGGAGUAUAGUCUCUACCCUAGUAGCACCGAUCACACUACCAUGCCCCCACCUGAGCAACAUGCCUAUACCAUGCCCCCACCCGAGCAACCUGCCUAUACCGAUCAUCACACUCUUGAACCCCAUACCGAUCCGAGUGCCGAAGCCGAUGGUCACACCAAUUCGAGUAGUGGGACGGGUUCCUCCACCACCGUUGGUGUAAAGCAAAGAGGUCGUUGUAGAACCUCCGCGGUGUGGGAAUCAUUCGAUGAAGAAAUCUCCGUGGUGGACGGUGUCCGGAGGGUGGUUGCAAGGUGCAAAAGGUGCAAGAAGGAGUAUACCGGAGAAGCCAAGGGAGGAACCGGCCACCUGAAGAGGCAUGUGGAAAGCCACGCCAAGGCGGAUGGAAAGAGCGCAUCGGGCUCGGCAGCUGUGCAAACGCAGCUCUCCUUCAACCCUGACGCACAUAGUGGUCCGAACAUUGCUGAAGCUAUACUAAAAGUUGUGAACGAUUUUAAUCUUGCCGACAAGGUUUUCUCAAUAACUUUGGAUAAUGCUUCAGCAAACACGAGUGCAAUGAAUACUCUGACUCCUAUAUUCUCCAUAUAUGCUGCAUCCUUUUUAAUGCAUCAACGUUGUGCUUGCCAUAUCAUUAAUCUUAUUGCUAAAAUUACUUUGUCUGGGGUUUCUUACCCGACAUCUCCUUUGAUGGUGCAUACCCUAUUAGACAUUGCUAGUCAUCUAAAAGCAUAUGAAGGGGAUGCAUUGUUACUUAAUGUUGUUGCUGGCAUGAAAACCAAGUAUUUAAAAUAUUGGCAGCAAAUUCCACUGUUGUAUGCAUUUGCAUUUAUCUUAGAUCCUAGAGCUAAACUUGAAGGGUAUCGUAGUGCACUCAAUGUACUAUCUGCAUCCCUAAGUUUAGAUUAUACUGACGACUUCAAUAAGGCUCGUGAGAAGCUUUUUGAAGUUUUUGCUAAGUAUGAGGAAAAAUAUGCCGGAGUUCGAAUGCAACGACCUCCACCAGCACCUACUGCAGGUAAAAAGAGAGGAGCAUGGAGCAAGAUCUUUGGUUCUUCAUCCUCCUCAACCGCCGGAAGCUCUUCCACGUCAACAUCUGUGCUUCAAGGUGGCGGGGAGUUAGCGAAGUACCUCAACAGUGACAAAGUCAUGUACGAUUUAGAUAGUGAGGAAGACUUCAACUUACUACAGUGGUGGCAAGAACACAAGCUUACAUUUCCGGUGCUCUCCAUAUUAGCACGUGAUGUGUUAUCGGUGCCUGUUUCUACGGUGUCAUCGGAGUCAGCUUUCAGCCUUGCUGGAAGAAUAAUUGAGGAGAGAAGAACUAGUCUCACCCCAGAUAUGGUGAGAACACUGAUGUCCGUCAAAGAUGGGGAGUUAUCAAGAAGGAGAGCGCAACACACUGCAGAAAACACAGAACUACUUGCCAUGUUUGAAGAAAUGAACUUUGAAGAAGACCCGGAAGAUUAA